rnacentral:lncRNA from 1 species
UGGCUGUGUAAGAGAAGAUGUAGGGGUGGACCUGAGCCCCAACGGAGGCAAGAACUUGCAAAGAGAGACAGCGUGGUGCUCAAGGUGUCCAAAGGAGUCUGCUGUGAUUGGAAAAAAGUGAGCAAACACUGGCGCAACAUAUUACACAUAUAUCUGAUGCUGGAGAUCAUCAAACACAAACCCAGCACAAAGCUGGGAGGAGCUAUUUGUGUCUUUCCUGAAGGACCUGUAUCAUCCAAAUUUCCAAAAUUCUUCAUAAACCAUCUUUUUUCCCAGAAUCCCAAGAGCUGCUAUGUAGAAAAUAAAGCCUUGACUCAAAGUGGAAGAUGGAAGAGGAUGUCUAUAUGAUGAUUCCCUUCUCCCUGGCUUUAAUGACUCCUGAGGAUAUUAAAAACAAAUCAGGCGCUUAUUGCUCACUGAGGAUCGAUCUACUAAUCUACAGAAGAGGAGCAGGUGGUCCGGCUGCCGCAAAGUACCUACAAGGGAACUCGUCCGAGUGUGGUUCAUUGGACAGAAAUGACAGAAUGUCAAUUUCCCUCCUAAAUGCAUGUCAUCGUCCGGAAUCAAAUAAGCAAUUACACCAGGCUAAAUUGAAUUCAUUUCAGAUUCGGACGGGCGGCGCACACCCAGACUGCUCCACGGAGGGAAAGCACACCUCCGACUGCAUGUAAAUAACAAGCCCGUGGCGGAUGGGUCUUUGAGCCUUGCCACCUCCCAGGCUCAGGCUCAGCCUGACUGAAAACUGACCCUGGCAACUUCCCAGCUGGCCUUCCCCCGCCCCCGCCCAGCAUCUCUGGCUGCCACGCUCAGGGGUAUGCCAUAGUGGCCCGGAUGUGGCAGGGAUCCAUCCACAGAAGACCAGCCCCUUUCAGCUCCUGCCCAGGGGCUCCAGGGAGCAUCUUUUCAUUUGGUUUCACCAGGUAAUGCGGUAGUCUUUCUUUCAAAUACUCUUAGAAUUACAACGCGUUGAGAAGAAAGUGUAGAGUGACCAUAAACCCAAAAACUAGUUUUCUUUAUAAUUUUUAUGUAGUUAUUUUUGGGCAUCUUAGUACUAUACAGAGUGACAAGGUUCAUUUGGGGUGCUCACAUUUAACAUGGCUUGUUCAUCUGAAAUUCCAUUAUGCCUCUCACCUUUCCUCCCUCGUCCUGUUGAACUCCUUCCCCAUAUCCUGAAGUCUGUCUUCGCAUUUCCUGACAAUUUUCCUUUACUUAUUCAUUCAUUCAUUCAUUAACUUAUUCA